AAGGGAGCCCUCAGGAAGGAGGAGGUGAAGGAAUCUGGCUCAUGAUUUCCCCUAAUCAGUCCAACUCUAGUCACACAACGGAGAUGAAUCAUCCCCAUUACACAGAUAAGGAAACUGAGACCCAGAGAGGUGGAAACCCCCUCGCUGCCAUCCCUCAGCACCUCUCCCCCUGAAGCCUGGCCAGCCUGUGCCUCCAGGAACGCAGACCACUCCCUCCUUGUGCCCACUCCCUGCGUCUGCUUAGAGAGCUCCUUGCCGCCUUGCCUGUUGCUGUGGCUUGUCUCCCCUCCUCCUGUCUUACCCCAGGGCCUGGCACAACUCCAGGCAUACAAGGUCUGAGACCAACAAUUGGCCCCCUUCCUGGCCAGAGCGCAAAGACUUGCAGACUGUGAACAGUCACCAGGGAGACUGCUGGACAAACGGCCGAAACCUGGAAUCUUCGCUCUGGGAGACAUCCAGGAUUUCCUAC